rnacentral:rRNA from 1 species
GACGUAGGGCGCGAGCGUUGUCCGGAUUUACUGGGCGUAAAGGGCUCGUAGGUGGCCAACUAAGUCAGACGUGAAAUCCCUCGGCUUAACCGGGGAACUGCGUCUGAUACUGGAUGGCUUGAGAUUGGGAGAGGGACGCGGAAUUCCAGGUGUAGCGGUGAAAUGCGUAGAUAUCUGGAGGAACACCGGUGGCGAAGGCGGCAUCCUGGACCGACACUGACGCUGAGGCGCGAAAGCUAGGGGAGCAAACGGG